CAUUGUUCAGCAGUCCAUGCACGCAGUUUAACAACAAGGAUUUAAUGGAUAAAGUGAGUGGAGUAGAGAAUAUGGUUCUGUUUGUUGGCUCAUCAUCUAUUGAUCAGUGCAGGAUAAAGGUCGAGGAACUGUUCCACUAUGAUCUCUGCAUAGAAAGAUACCGCCAGUUCACAGAUGAGUUGGUGUGUAUUAAGAAUACCAACCCACCUCAUCCACAACUAAGCUAUUAUGCGUUCUCUACAUACUGGUAUCUCAUUCAAGUCUUAAAUCUACCUUCUCAGCACUCUUUACAAAGAUAUGAUGACGCGUCUAGAGAUCUUUGCACCAAGUCAAGGAAUGAGUCUAUUGAAGAUGGUGUUGAAGACAAGAUUGUGGAUUCAGUUUGCUUCAAAUCUAUCUUUAUGAAGGCCUUGCUAACUCAAGGAUACAAGAUAGAUGCAGAGAAUUACUCCAAGAUUAGGUUUGUGAAGCGGGCAGGCAGUGCAGAGGUCGGGUGGACGCUAGGGCACAGUAUACUAGUCAGCAACAGUAUACCAGAAAUACAACCCAAAAUUUAUCUAAGUGAUAUGAUGUUUGUGGUUCUACUUGCACUCUCUACAGGGUUUGCGCUGCUCUCCUUCUUCUUCUCUUAUCAGGUUGAAAAAAAGUCACUGCACUAAGCGGGGUUGGAAAAUUCUGAGGAUAUCCAUUGUCAGAAUUCCGCCUUAAUAAUACAAAUGGGAUAAAAAAGGAAAUUCCACAAGAAUAUGCACUACUGGACUCAAGCCUACUCAGCCCUUUUAGAACACUCUUCAAG
rnacentral:misc_RNA from 1 species